rnacentral:rRNA from 1 species
GUGCAGCCAUAUCACCCUGUAGCCCAAGACUGGUCGCCCACUGAAGCUAAGCAGGGUUGAGCUGGUCAGUACCUGGAUGGGAGACCUCCUGCGAAAACUGGUUGUAGAUGACC